CUUUUCGAGGUAGGAGUCGACUCCUGUGAGGUAUGGUGCUGGGUGCAGAUGCAGUGUGGCUCUGGAUAGCACCUUAUGGACAGUUGUGUCCCCAAGGAAGGAUGAGAAUAGCUACUGAAGUCCUAAAGAGCAAGCCUAACUCAAGCCAUUGGCACACAGGCAUUAGACAGAAAGCUGGAAGUUGAAAUGGUGGAGUCCAACUUGCCUGGACCAGCUUAAUGGUUCUGCUCCUGGUAACGUUUUUAUCCAUGGAUGACUUGCUUGGGUAAGGACAUGAAGACAGUUCCUGUCAUACCUUUUAAAGGUAUGGAGAGUCGGCUUGACUACACUGUGUGGAGCAAGUUUUAAAGAAGCAAAGGUAUAGCAGUUCCAAGUAUUUUUUUUUUUUUUUUAGACAAGAGUCUAGCUCUUGCCCAGAAUGGAGUGCAGCGGCACUAUCAGUUCACUGCAACCUCUGCCUCCCAGGUUCAAGGAAUUCUCCUGCCUCAGCCUCUUGAGUAGCUGGGAUUACAGGCAUGUGACACCAUGCCUGGCUAAUUUUGUACAGCUAUGUUGUCCAGGCUGGUCUCGAACUCUUGACCUCAAGUGAUACUGCCCGCACUGACCUCCCAAAGUGCUGGGAUUACAGGCGUGAGCCACCAUGCCCCGCCUCAAGUCUGGUUUUUAAGUGUUGUAAAGCCGAUACAAUGAUGAUAACAUAGUUCAGCAGACUAACGCUGAUGAGCAAUAUUAAGUCUUUCGCUCCUAUCUGAUGUAUCUGGCGGUAACAUUCUAGUUUAUGCCCCGAAAAGGGGAAUAUAGCCAUUCUAUAAUGUUUGGAGAUUUUGGAUUACUCCUAAUUGUAUGCAAGUUGUCUUACUGUGUAUUGUCCCUUAAUUUCAGGACUCAGAAUUCAUGAUUGAAGAAAUGCAGGUUAGUUUAAACUUUGAAGGAAAUUUUUAAGGUGGCAAAAGGUUUUGGUGGCAUAUACACCUUAAUCUGUAGAUGGGAGUGAUUAGCUGUUUAAAAGUUAAAAUGUGACUGAGAAGGAAAUUGAGUAGGGCAAAUUUUAAAUGGGUAUUAUUUUUCAUCUUCAAACAGGCAGACCUGUUAUCCUAAACUAGGGUUUUUAAUGACCACAACAAGCAAGCAUGCAGCUUACUGCUUGAAAGGGUCUUGCCUCACCCAAGCUAGAGUGCAGUGGCCUUUGAAGCUUACUACAGCCUCAAACUUCUGGGCUCAAGUGAUCCUCAGCCUCCCAGUGGUCUUUGUAGACUGCCUGAUGGAGUCUCAUGGCACAAGAAGAUUAAAACAGUGUCUCCAAUUUUAAUAAAUUUUUGCAAUCCA
ensembl:lncRNA GAS5 growth arrest specific 5